rnacentral:rRNA from 1 species
CGGCCGCUGCGCGUGCCUAAUACAUGCAAGUCGAGCGAAUGGAAUAAGAGCUUGCUCUUAUGAAGUUAGCGGCGGACGGGUGAGUAACACGUGGGUAACCUGCCCAUAAGACUGGGAUAACUCCGGGAAACCGGGGCUAAUACCGGAUAACAUUUUGAACCGCAUGGUUCGAAAUUGAAAGGCGGCUUCGGCUGUCACUUAUGGAUGGACCCGCGUCGCAUUAGCUAGUUGGUGAGGUAACGGCUCACCAAGGCAACGAUGCGUAGCCGACCUGAGAGGGUGAUCGGCCACACUGGGACUGAGACACGGCCCAGACUCCUACGGGAGGCAGCAGUAGGGAAUCUUCCGCAAUGGACGAAAGUCUGACGGAGCAACGCCGCGUGAGUGAUGAAGGCUUUCGGGUCGUAAAACUCUGUUGUUAGGGAAGAACAAGUGCAUAGAUGAACUAAGCUGGCAUCCUUCGCGAAGGAACCUAGACCACAUAUAGCCACGGCAUAACAUACGUGAUGUCCACGCAGCCGCGGUAGAGUACUGUUAAGU